ACUGGAUUAGAUCUGGACUAGGAAAACCUCCUUAUUUCAGCGGGAACUGGAUCAGAUCUGGACCAGGAAACCCUCCUUGUUCCAGCGGGAACUAGAUCAGAUCUGGACCAGGAAAACCUCCUGAUCCCAGCACGGAA